ACAGAUUUUCAAAUAAGAAAGUCAAGUAGUCAAGAUUCAAGAAUAUUCUCCCUGCCCUACAAAAGUACUACCUUAUUUAUAAAUUUAUAAAUCCAUAUAUGGAGAUGAAGAAAGUUCUAAACGCCUAAAACGCCUAGAAAUUGAAUUCUGGGUCGUUUCGGUUGCCGAAUGUCGAAGCUGAGGCGAAUUUUUCUACCUGAAUAAGUGAAUGAAAGUAUUUAAAAUUUUGUCAUCAAGAUCGUGUUUUCUCGUUAAUCAAUUUCAUAACAUAUACUUUUGUAGAAACAUUACGUUCAGGUUUGAAAGUAUUGAUUUUUGAUUGUGGGUUAAAUUGGCGUACCAUUGAAACGAAAAACUAAACUCAUUAUGUCAUUUGUGAAUCAAACAUGGAUUAUGAACAUAGCUUUUCCAGAUCACACUGAUAGCGUGCAGUAAAGAAUUCCAAACCAAGCUAUACUACAGAAGAAUAUUCCAUGGCAGCUGAAAAAAAUAAUAAUGAUACUUUCUCAAAAUUGAAAUACUAUUCGUUAACACAGAUACCGAAAUCGAUAUCUUUUAUGAUUUCUCCUACGAGAUGCGAAAAUUACCAGAAAAAUGACACAAUAAACCCUCUUCCAUUCCAUUCCUCAUAAUAAGCAUACGAAACCUUGUAGAUAUGCCAAGUACGAGUACGAAAACCAUGUGAGUACAAUAUUGCAUAUGCAUAGUGCACAAAAUUUUCAUACCUAUAUAGUGUAUAUUUUUACACCGCACCGUCGCAUAAUCACCAAAUAAAAGGAAUUCGCAUUCUUAUUACAAUUUGGGAAACUGUCUCACUCGAUGAGUGAAUGCUUGAAUGACUUGAAGAGUCAAACAAUCAGAUACUACCGAGUAGUGUUCUUUUGGAAAAUCAACUCCAACUCAGACAACGCAAACAACAGAAAGAAUAAAAUAAAAAGGGAAAUAUAAUAUAAUUGAACGAUGAAAAAGGUGGUUAGCACAAUAACCAUUUGAUCGAUAAAACGUGGCUUAGUGACGGCAGUUUAGGUGGUAAGCACAGCAAUUUUCAACCAUCGAAAAAGGUGUUAGCCCGAUAAUUUUCAUUGAUAAACUUGAUAUUUUUUAUUGAUUAGCACGAUAUUUUUCAUUGGCAAAAGAAAACGCUGGCACACAGUGGGACAGAUUCAUUUUAUAGGGUUGUCAAAAAUCAUAUUAUCUCAGAAAUGAAUGCAAAUUUUGACGUCAAUCAUUUUGAGGCGCUGAAUUCAUUUUUGUCGGUAUUUUGGUUCGAACCUCAAAUGGCGGCCCUAGGAGGGCGAUGCAAAGGGGUAAAUAUUUUGAAAAAGUCGAGCGGUGGAGUAUUGAUAUGUACGUUUUUUUUUUGGGCUCCAGAAUUCAUCUUUGACGUUAUUUCGGUUCAAAACUUAAAUGUGGCCCCAGGAGGGGUGCAAAGGGACAAAUUUAUGAAAAAAUCGAGUAGGGUAUUGAUAUGUACGUUUUUUGGGCUCCAGAAUUUAUUUUGGGCGUUAUUUAGGUUCGAAGGGGGUGCAAAGGCCAUCGAAUAGGUAAAAAAACAGAAUUUUUCGUCAUUUCAUUGAAAAUCUGUGAUUUUUCCAAGUCCAAUUAGGGGAGAAUCGGAACAUUUCGGGAAAAAGUAUUAGACUCAGGUGAAAUUGGAUCACACAUCUUCAAAAAUACUCUCGAUAAAACUUGGCAUGAAAUACAGUUUGCCACAAAACAGUGCACCUGGAAGUGUCAUUCUGGGCCAAUCGAAAUAGCGUCUGAUGAUUUUAAUUAGUUUUGUAAUAUCAACAUGACCAUAUUCAUGGUGAUAAUGAUGAAUACGAUUUUUCUGUAAUUUUUCAGGUACAUAGAUACACCAAAUUUUAUCGACUUCAUUUUGGAAUACUGCUAACUUUAAAUUAUUAUCAAUUUUUGCUCGUUCUGGAAAUCUAAUCAGCAGCCACAUUCGAAGUCAUACAUCAUUGUCUUGUAUUUCUCAGUCAUAAUCGUUGAAAUUUAGUGUACAAACACUUUGGAGGUUGAUAGUUGAACAAGAAAAUUGAAAAGUUUUUAUUGUUGUCUUUUACUUGGAAUGAAUACCUGGACAAAAAGUCUGCUAUAGUAUUAUCACAGCCAGCAAUAGCUUUCAUAGACACAUCUGUGUAUACAAAAAAAGGUUUUUAGAAAUCAGGGUAUGUCAGCAUCGUUUCAUGAGCAAGUUCUUUUUAUAAUUCUUUGAAAUAGUAUUCUUGUUCUUCUGUUCAAAUGAAACUUUUCUUUUUCGACGUCGUAGCAUACAAAGCUUCACAAAGUUCGCUGAUUCUUGACAUGUGCAAAUUCACAAAUGCUAAAAUUUUGAUUCUUUAGAUUUAUUAUUAUGAAAAAAACUGGCCAAAAAACCACUCUUGAGGUGUCCCUUCCAAAACCGACUCAAAUGUGGAUAAACUUGUUAAACAGAUCGAAUAUAACACACAACUCGAUUUUUAGCUGCCCAAUUUCAUAUUCAAGCCUUCAGGAGCAAAUUCAAAAUUCUGGAGAAAUUGAAAAGUAGCGCUGGAGGCUCCAGAUCGGUGGGAAAUGGCGGAAUUUGGCCUCGGGAGGUUAGUUAUGGACAAAAUACAGCAAUUCGCGCACAUUUCAAAAAUCUCCUCGCGAACGGAAAUUUUUUUUUAAUUUUUUAUUAAAAAAAAAAAAAAAAAAAAGUGGUCAAAAAACCACUCUUGAGGUUUCCCUUCCGAAACUGACUCAAAUGUGGAUAAGAUUGUUAAACAGAUCGAGUAUACCACACAACUCGAUUUUUAGCUGUCCAACUUCAUAUUCACUCCUUCUGGAGAAAUUGUAAAAUAGCGCUGGAGGCUCCAGAAUGGCUAGAAAUGGCGAAAUUUGCAUUUGGGGGGUUAAUAUUAGUUUCAGGAUUUAUUUUGAACAUUUCUACUGAUCAAGUACGUACUUUUUUUUUAAAAAAAAAAAACAUAAAUCACCAAAAUAUUCAAUUUUGGAUUUUCAAAAAUUCGCCAAAAAUCGAAAAAUAAACUUGGGCAGCUGAAAAUUUGGAGUUGGGGGUUUUAGAACAUGCUCUCUCCAAAGAUCGCGGUCGCGUUCAAAUCGGAGGCGGACACCUCAAGAGGUUCCCGUGUGAGUUUGUAUGGUGAUUGACGCAUGUCAACUUUACCGUAUUUAAUCCGUUGACGAAUUAUUUUGAAAACACAGUCUUCGAACUAAUGUAAAAUCUGCCUAGUUUUACACCAUAUCUUAUCAGGAGGAGGCAUUUUUCCAUCUAUGAAUAUGAAACUAUGCUCGUAGCAAUUGCAGAGUCCUAUCCUAUCUUCAAAUACUUCUGAAUUGUUAUAAUUAUAUAUGAUUUUUCAACUCACCUUUUUUUAUUAUCUGGAAUAUUGAUUUUACAACCCGUUUUGUCAACCUUGAGAAGCAGAUCACCGUCAAUAAUAUAGUCAGGAUUUUCACUGAUCGAAAAGAUUUCUUUGGUUCGAGUGGCGGUAGUAUAUUUUACUUUGACUGGAUUCUUUUGCUUCGGAUCAGUUUUCAAUUUGAAAUUCACUGGAUUCUUUUAGCUAUCUUUGUAGAAUACAUCGAAUUUUGUAUCGUUGGUUGGAUCACUGAUGUUGAUUCGGUUUUCCACCAUAUGAGUAACCAUUUUAAAUUCUCGUCGAAGAUUCCAACCGACAAUUAAUUCAGCAUUCAAAUCUUUAACCACACACAGUUGGAUAUUGAAGACACUUUCUCGGUGGGUAGGAAAAAUUGAAGGUAACGUAACUCAUCUUCGUGAUUUUAGGAUGAGAUUUUCCCGCCCACGUGAAAAAAUACCAUUGGUUUUUAAAAAUACCAUAGGUUUUUUCGUAAUACAUAUGUACUUAUGGUUUACCAUAGGUUUAUAAGCUCACCAUAAGUAUUAACUCAAUGGUUUUUAAAUUACCAAUGGUUCCUACAUUCACCAUACAGUAAAAACUAAUGGUUUUUUUACCACCAAUGGCUUAUCAAUUUACCAUAAGUAAAAACCAUUCAUUCAAAACUUCAACCAAUGGUUCACCAUAGGUUUCUACUUAACCAUUGGUAUAAAUUCAAUGGUUUCUUGAAAACCAUUAGUUUUAUUUUGGAAAACUGCAGUUUUCUCAAAAAGGAGGGGAAAACAAUUUUUAAGUGUAAAAAAAAGCAAAAUCUCAAGUAAUUUUCUGGAAUUUCUUCAUUUUUAUGCAGGGAAAAUGGGAUAAAAUGAUGCUUAAGAAAAGCGAUACCUGUUUGAUUAUUUUUUUGUUAUUGUAAAGAAAUUUUUACAUUAUUUUAGGCAUAGUUUUGAGAGAAAUUUUCACAAAUUUUGUUUUUUUUACCAAUUUUGAUCAUUUUGAACUGUUGUCGUGAUAUUCUGGACUACAAUUUUUUGUAAAAUUUUGUACAAUUUCUAUUUUAUCACGCCUCUUUAAAAAAAAAACAAGUUUAUGAUUUGAUAAUUAAAAAAUUUUACAAAAUUUUUUCAAUUUAGAAAAAUUUUGAAAUGGAAUUUUAGUGCUUCAUUUUACUGGGAAAGUGCAUUUUAGCAAGUUUUGACCAUUUUGGUACAUAGAAAUGAAGAAAACUCCAGUUUUUAAAAGGAAUGGUUUUGUACCAUUGGUAAAAUCCAUCGGUAAAUGUGUCCGAAAAUACUAUACCUAUGGUUUUGUACCCAUAGAAAAACCAAUGGUAUUUUUUCAUAUAGGCGAAGCUAGAGAAAACUGUGACACCUUUUCGUUACACAUAAACCCAACUCACGAAAGUAGUAAAGAAAACACUACGCGUUUGUGCAAACUUUUAAUUAAACGAAUAAAUGCAAAUUAACCGAAGAUAAUCAUAUUUUCCGACGAUCACAUCUCGCGACGACAGCUCGCAAAACGUGCCGCAACAGUAAUGAAGUACAAGUACAUAAUUCGUUACCGGAGGGGGGAAAAGAGAGUAAUAGUAUAUUAUGCAACUAGGGAGAUAAUGUGAUCUUCAACGAAUUUUGAGGUUUAUUUCCCGAGCGAAGCGAGGGACGUAACUCAAAAUGGUUGAAAAUCACAUUAUCUCCCCAGUUCCAUAAAAUAUUUUACGUUUUUAGGGAGAGAAUCGCUAAUUUGUCCGCCGAGCGAUUAGCGAGCGGGAGAUAAUGUAGUAGAUUAUCUCCCUAGAAACGUAAAAGCUAGUUACACUAACAGUGAGGCCAUAUCCCUGCCUGUUACAUAUAUGCCCCUCUGCUCCUGUCACCAGCACUCCGAAGAGCACUGUAGACAAGAACAGAAAGAACACAGCCCCAAACCGGAAAAUAUAGCCACACUACUACUUUUUUACCCAGUUGACACAAAGUUGUUUGUAGACAAAUUUUUUAAUUUGAGCUAAUCUAUCGAAUUUUUAUCUCCCACAUGAUCGAAAAAUUAUUCAGACUAUUAGAGCAUUCACUAUAAUUUUUAGAUCCUCGGAAAAUCAGACAUCUUCAGAUAAUUUUUUGCACACAAAAAAAAUACAUAGAAAAGUAUAACAAUAAUGCAUAAGUAAUAACAUAAUCAAUAAUAAAUUUACAACAUAGGAACAUUAACAGAAAUUACAAAAAUUUGCAUAAUCUUUUUAUUUAAUUAGGGUUGCAAUGAUUGUAUUUAUCGCACAAUUGCGUAAAAAAGAAAAAUAACAAUAUUUACAUGUCAAAAAUCAAGUUUUAUAUUAUAUGUCGGAAAAAGGAUAUAAUUUGUCGAAUGUCGUCGAUCUAUUGGUUAUGUUGAAACUAUGUCGUUGUAAUUUUUCGCCGAUUCCAUUACCAUUUGACCAAUCAUUAUCGUCGUAUCGUCAUUCCAUCAUAAUUAUCGUCGCGUUGAUUAACUCGUUGAUUACGUCUUUUUCUUGAUGAUAAAAAAUUUACAUUUGCCUUAAGGGCACAUAUUCAUUUUUUUUUUGGGGGGGGGAGGGGGGUUAACGAUGGUUUUUAACAUAUAAUUGUCAAAAAUAAUAUCAAUGUGUUACGAUAAGACAACUCUUUUUACAUGUAAUGGACAUGUUUAAAUUGACACGAUUUUACAUGAUUAUUACCUGUGCAUCAUAGUACACUAUGAAAUCAUGUAUGAUGAGAUAUACUAGAGUAAAAAAAAAUAAAAAAUUCUCUAAAUUAACACAAUAUUAAUUAGCACAAUGUAAAUCAAUGGAAAAAAAAUGUUGUGAUGUAAAAAAUGAAGAAAAAUUUUUACGAUUAAUUCAUUUGAGGUAGGUAACUUUACGAAUUUUUUGAGACUAUUUUUUCACACUUUUAUCGAAUUGAAGAGAUUGAUCAAAAAAUUCUCUUCGAUUUGUCGCCUAAUUUAGGAUCAAUAAGUUCCUUGAUUUAAAGCUAAGAAGCUGGCGAUUUAUUUUCGAGUAUAGUGAAUCUGUUCCUAUCAGUGGCAGAUUUUAUAGCCUCUUUUGUUCUCGAAUAGUUGAAAAAUGCUGACGAUUGAUUCAUGACAAAGACAUUAUUUAGACAAUUGGUUGGUGAAUAGCACGCUAAAAUGGUGACUCAACUAAAUCUUGCUAUAAUUAAAAUGAUCGAAUAUUUUUAACUUCUUUAAAAUUCGAUAUUGAUAAUUGACGAAUGACAUAUGAUAAUAAAACAAAGAAAUGAUGAAAAAAGAAUAACCAUAAUAAUAAUAAUAAUAAUAAUAAUCGCCUUGCGAUAAAAAAAAUAACAAAUUGAUUAAUUCGCGAAUUUUUUCGAUCUUUCGCGGUAAAGUAAGUCGAGUAACGAGUCUUUGGUACGAAGAAGAUUUUCCCUACGUCAGCUUUCGAUAAUUUUUCACUCAAUUUUGGAUUCACUAUCUCCCUACCUAAUUUCCCUUUUCUUUAAUUUAGAUUUUCCAAUGUUGCAAAGUUUUAUGAUCGUGAUUACUUUGCUAAAUUUAAAAAAAAAUUUAUCAGUUGUCCAGAUGAGUAAAUCGUAUUGACUUGCCUAUUUUCCACUUGCUGCUUGUACUCAUUUUCUGAUGUUUGAAUUUUCAAAAGGUUUUUCGUCUACCUAUUUUGGCUAUUUUUGUCAUCACUCCUACAGAGUGGAUGCCUUUUUUACGAAUUUACAUACUUUUUUGAGACGAGAGCAAUUUUGAAUUCGAAUCAUUUUAUUUUUAUUCGAUUAUUUUUUCUUCUUUUUUAUGAUGUGUUUUGAUUUUCUUUUUUCUGUUUUUAUGAGACAAGCAUGUGGAGAAGCUGAAAUAAAUGAGAUAUUAAGGACAUACAAAAAAAUAAAUAAAAGAAUGAUAUUGUUAGUGCCAUACAUUUGAAAAAAGUUGUUAGAUAGGAAAAAAUAGUCAAAAAUUAUCGAACCCGAAUCGAAUUUACUGGCGAGGCGGCGGUAGCGGUUUAUGAUCCUUUUCAGCAUAUGUAGGAUCGCGCAAUUGUAUCCUUAUUAGUCGAAGUAAAAGUUGGAAAAAUCCUCACGUAAAGGAAGGAUUUCCUUUGUCAUCGACUUUUGGCUCCGUCCAUCGCCUGCGACUAUUUUGAACCGAUUCAUCGUAAUAGAUGUAUCUACCUUAGAAUGUAUUCACUGCAGUUUUCAAAAUCGUGUCGAUUAAUUCAAAGGCUGCAUAUGAUUUUAUCUUUUAUGCACUUACAUAUCUCAAUCGUAACUCAAAACUAAACUUUAGCCGAAAAUAGUGAAAAAGCCUCUAUAAGUCGUACGUUGUCUGGCGUUUACCUCUAUAACUCGAAUAUUUCAAUUCAUACUUCUAUUGUUUUUAUGCACUUACCUAUCUCUCGAUUCAUUCAUUUCGUAAAACCUCUAUAACUCGAACUUCUCAAAAUCUUACCUGCAUAACUCGAAACUGAUUAUCUCGAAAACCUCUAUAAGCCGAAUGCAUGACCAUGAAGUCUUACCCGCUUAAAAUAUUCAUUUUUGGUUCAAAUGGAACCCCUUAACUUUUUGUUGAAAAAUAUUAAUAUUUAGAGGUGGCGCACAAGCGUUGAAUGUUGAGAGAUAUGAGCCCGCGCAAGCACAAUACUUCCCACGACAGCGCCGCGGCAAACGAAACGCAGCUUGACGGGGUUCAUUAUGCACAACUAUAAUGAGAGCGGCAUCCCCACUACAAGUCAUCAAGUGAUACCAAUCUUUCUUGGGUUUUUGAAACAACCAUAACGAAGUAUUAAUUAUGAUUUUCCGGCUGUAGAAUUUAUUUGAACCCAAAUUGUGGAAUUCAGAAAUCAAAACAUUAAAUUUUCACUAAGUAAUGACUUUAAAAUUAAUAAUGGUUAUGAAACAUCAACUGAAAGUGCUGAAUCUUAUAAAUCUUAUGAAACAGUCAUAUUUCAAUGUUAAUUCAUCCUAUAUCUACAUUACCCACAUUUUUUUCCAACAGUUGCUUAGUAGAUUAGAAUAAUACAGCCUCAAAUUCAUACUUUUUUCUUUACUUUUCAAAAUUUUCGUAUUUCCACCUUCAAUCAGCUUUGUAAUUGAAAAAUUGUUAUUGAAUCUUCAUUAAUAAUACACUUAGAAACUUCACCAAGGACUAGACUUACUUAUCACGCAUUGUUGAGGGGGUAACGUGUUGUAGGACUGCUUCAAUGAAACGAGGGAACGCAACGUUAUAUUCCCCGGCGCGCAACCGCGGGAAGUUUUCGCUUGACGCGCUCGUACCUUCUCAACAUUCAACUCUUCUGCGCCACCAGUAAAUAUUAUUUUUUUGAAUUGAAAUUUUGUAUGAUGUCUUUUCAGACAUAAAUGAACACUUUUAGGGGGUAAGACUUCGAAAAAGUGAAAAAAGGGCCAAAGGGAACAUUUUCAAAUUGAGGUGCGGCAGCGAAAGGGUUUUAAUCGAUAGUUUAGACCCCAAAACAACAAACGGAGUGAGUUUUUUAAAUUUGAGUUGUUUUUGUGGUCAGGAGAGACUGUCAAAGUUGAGAAAAUGGCCGUUUUUGUCGUAGGUACCUACUUCAAGAGUUUGUAGCGACAAUAGCGACAUCCAUAUUAUUGUUUUGGCAACAAAAAAAAACAAGGACAUUUUCGGAUUCUAUACACACUUUUUAAAGUAAACUACUUUCCCCGAUUUUUGAUUUUCGAACUUUCAAGUACAUAAGGCUAAUUUUUCUAAAUACGAAAAAUUAAAUUUGAACUUGGGGUGAACAGGAACAACACAGUUCCGCGCCACGAUUAGUCGAUUACGUGGUAGAGUAAUGCCAGCGUCGCAUGCGCUGAGUUUUAAAAUAUUAUAUGUACCUACCAAUAAAAAUCGUCUGUGUGCGCUUGAAAUUUUAAAAAUCAAAAAUCGCAGAAAGUAAGUAGGUACCUAGUUUACUUGAAAAAGUGCGUAGAAUCCGAAAAUGAUCUUGUUUUUUUUUUGCAAAACAAUCACCUCAAACUCUUUAAGUAAGGCAAAAAAGGCUAUUUUUGUAACUUUGACCAUCUCUCCUGACCACAAAAGCAACUCGAGUUGAAAAACCCCACUCUGUUUUUUGUUUUGGGGUCUAAAGUACCUAUCGAUUAAGCCUAUUAUCAACCCGAACACAAAUUUACCGUUGCCUAGUGUUAUCAAUUACCUUACCUUUGAAUUGUAAAUGGCGGUCUUCUGCAAUAAGCACAGCUGAUCUGCUUAUCCAACCAUUGCAGGCAACAUUCCCUGCAAAUUAAGUGUUCGCAAGGAAUUGUUACCGCAAGGUCAUGAUGUUUCAUCAGACAAGUCUGACAUUUUCUCAAUGAAACAUCAUGACCUGGAACGGGUUGGUUUUCAAACCAGUCGGCCCUUGCAUAUAACACCCAACCAUUUAUUUCGAUUUCGACCGCGCUUCCAUCAGCUUCAUUGUCGAUAACGAUGACUUCAUCAUCAUCAUCGUCGUCGAUAACGAUGACUUCAUCAUCGUCCACAAUGAUACCGCCAUCUUCAUUUUCCUGAAAACUGCAAACAGAUAAAAUAAAGAUGAAUUACAAUCACGACCCAUUGAAAUGCAUACCUAGGUACGAUAUAGGUAGUACCUACACCUAGUUCACUAAAAAAAAGUUUUUACAUGGAUUUCAUUGAGGGAGUGGAGGCGGGAGAAUUACCGAUUUGAAAUAAAACGCGAAUUUUUAAAGUGAAAUAAGCGAUAAAAAUUUCAUUUUUUAGGUUUAAAAAUUUUCACUUUUUCCACUUUUAAAAAUUCUGUUUCUUUUUCGAAUUUUCGGAGUUUUUUAAAAAAAAUUCAAGUUUUCAGGAAGAAUGAAUAAACAUGCUCGAUUGAUGCAAGGGCUAAAUAAAACUUUCAAAAAUUCGCAUUUUGAAAAGUGAAAAACAAUGUUUCAGACAGUGUUUUUUUAUUGUUUAUGGAUAUUUAGAAAGUUCAAUUUUGAAAAACAAAAACAAAAAAAGCCAAACAAAGUGAGGGCUGAAUUUUCAAAAAUUUCAUUUAUCAAGAAAUGAAUUACAUAUUUCUUUCCUUAGGUCAAUUUUUCUGCCUUUGACAUUUUCAAAAAUUAAAACAAUCGAUACCUAGUAUUAGACUUAAUUCUAACCCUCAAAAAAGCGAUUCUGUAAAUCAAAUCGGGGAAGUGAAAUGUUUCGCGCGGAAAAUAGGCUUACGGACGAGCUCUUGCUAAAAAGCAAUGUCCCCAGCGCUGGACCCGCUUAUUUUCAAAAUUGGGGCCCAAAUGGGGCCGAUUUUGGGUCCGUAAAUCAUUCGAGUGAAGUGUGGGGACAUUGGAUUUUUGGAUAGUGUUGGUAUCGUAGAUGAAAAAUAUUCAAUGUCCCCGGCCCCCAGGCGCUUAAUUUAGGCUCACCUCCCUUUCAAAAUUUCGACUUUCCAAUAAAAAUUCAUUGAAAUGCGAGAAAUGAACAUUUUUGGAUGAAAUUUUGUAUACCAACUAAUGAAGGCAUGAAGAAUUCAUAUCCGGCGAGUUUUGGUUUUUUCAAGCCCCAGUAGGGGCUGCAGGAGCACCCCCACCCCCAAUUUUUAAGUUGGGGUAAAUCGUCGAUGAAGUCAGAUUUGAGACAACACCACUCAGUACUUGGGAAUGAGGAGAUAAUGCAUGUGAAAUUGAGUAAUGAAAAACUGAAGAAAUAUGUAGUUAUUAGGGCCUCAAUAGUAUAUUCCACUCGAUCAAGCUGUUAAAAGCGAUUUUAUGAUUGAUUCUCAUUCUAGACACUAUUACAAAGAAAUUCAGCCUUUGUGGCCUUUCAUACUUCCCCCCCCCCUUUUCCGAGGGUCCAUCCCCAUAUUACAAACUGGAAUGGCGUAUUGCCUUCCCUAUGGCUGGCUCCUAUAAAAAAUCCAAUCAUAUCGUUAGAGUGCUACCAAAAUGUUUAUUUUUUGUUAUUAUGGCAUAACCCAAGUCUGAAAUGGAAUUACCCAGUGGAUUCACGUUCAUUUUCUCAAAUCCGAGCUCUCAAAUGCACAUUUCCUGAAUGGGAUGUUCAGGUUUUCCGAAUCCUUUGUUUCUCAAAAUCCUGAAAAAUUUCUCUUUCAACGAAUGAGUGUCGACACUUUCUUUUCUUCUGUUCAAAAAACGAGUUAAUUUUCGAACUGGGAUCAUUACAUUCUUUGAACGAACUUGAAGGAACACGAAUUCGCAAUUUUGAUAAAAAUACAAAAAAUCGUUGAAAAUGAAGUGACAUAUCGAUUGUUAGGCUAAUUUAAAGGUACUAUAAGUUCGAAAAUUUACUCAAUUUUCCAAUCCCCUCCUCUUCCACUAGUAGGUAUGUUUCCCAAAUAUCCUCAAUAUAUUCUCAAAAAAUUGAAAAAAUGAUUUGUGGCAUGUCAUUUGUUUGGUUUCCGAAGAUGCUGAGUUCGAAUACUCACUUAUUCAUUUCAAGGUUGCAAGCUCUCUCCUCUCAAUGCCCUUCCAGCUCUAACAUUUUGAAAAAUGUGCGAAAAAUUGAGAAACAGGUAAAUGCGACAUCAAGUUCUCAGUGUGUAGAGGAAGACAGGGGGGCAUUUGAGUUUGGGUGUGGUGUAUUGAAAAAAUUGAUUGAAUUAGGAAUCGUGUUCCGAAGUUGGUAGAAAUUGGUCAACAUUUUUUUUUGGGGGGGGGGGGGAUAGAGUACAAGCCCAGAGAUUCCGAAUCGGUGACAGCUUACUUACACGUUUUCAUAAAAAGAAACAAAAAAUAUUCAGAUUUUUUGCAUUCAGAGAAAAUUUACUUCAAGAUUUUAAAAUUUGGGAUAAAACUAUUCAGGAAAGUGGUCAUUCGGGAUUUUGAAUUUUGGGAAAAAGGGAUUUGGAUUUAGGAAAACGGUAAGUACCUAUUUGGGAAAUAUCCCAAUCGGGAAAUGCACAAUGGAGGAUUCGGAUUCGGGAUUUUGGGUGGAUUGAAUCAACGUUAUUUUUUUUAAAUUUGUAAAGCAUUUUGACGAUUACAAAUUACAUUUUUGACUAUACCCCUCAGAAUAUUAGUACGGGUACCAUGUCGGUCUAUCGUUUCAAAAUCGCAAAAGAGUGAGACCGGAAAGGUAUACUUUUUUCGCGAUAUUUCCUCGAAAGGGGAUCAUUUCCCGACCCCGAAACCACCAUUACAUUUUUGAGAUCGAAUUGCAAAACCGAUCCAGGGGUUCUCAAAGUUGUGAAAAUUGAGCACCUACGUGGUCAUCUGUUUUGGCCAAUAAAUCCCAACCAAAAGGGGGUAGGUGGGUGCUUGUGGUCUCAAAUAACUCGUAUUGGAUCACUCUUGAAAUAUCUACCCAUGACCGUUCUCAUUUAGUGAUACCUCACAUUUCAGUGGUUCCCAAAGUUGAACUUUUGUAUUCCAAAUUUUUAAAGUCACGCAUUCAAACGAAUAUUGUCAGUAAAUAAAUUUAGCAAUCAAAAACUAGUCCAGAUAAAAAGUUGCGAAAUUUUACGACGAUUUCAAAAAUGUGUCAUUUUUUUUCUUAGCAUUGAUAGGGGCCGAGCUGAGGGGGUUGGAACGUCAAAAAACGUGAUGUAACAAUAGUCCAGUAACUUAAGCAAAAAAAUAGGGGGUUUCGUGAAUCUGUAGGUGGCAAGCUGAUUUUUGGUAUACUGGUCCAUUUUGAUGGCCUGAAAACGAAUCCGAGGAGUCCCUUGCGGUUACGGGUGAGCUUUCCCCUAAAUUGUGGAUCUUAGCCCCCCAAAAUCGGUCGCCAUAAUGUUGAUGGUUAAUAUUGAUUGUAAUACCUUCAAUCGUUCCAAAAUGGAACGGGGGGUUGUUUUCUUUGUUUUUCUGAGGUACAGAGCGGAGCACAAUGUCAUCCCGCCCUCCUCCUCCCCCUUCACUUAUCAGUUAUUUGCCUAUAUAGGUACGCACGUGAGAUGAAUUGAAAUGCACUAAAAAAUGUAAAAUUGUCGAAUGGAAUGUUGAUACGAGUUCCAAAAACCAGUUUUAGCGUAUUGUGACCACUUCUCUCCCUUUGUGGAUCUUAGCCACCCCAAUCGGUUUUUGACCAAUAUACCUAUCGAAAAGUAUUGAGUCCAGCUCAAAAAUGGUUAGGACGAAUGCGGCUCUACAUCUAAUUUCUCAUCAGAUGACCCAUUGAUCAAUUUUCCAGUCCCAAGGGGGUUGGACCUACCCCUUCUGACCUCUCACCAUUCAAUUAUUUGCCAAUAUAUGUAUAUGAGGUGAAUUGAAAUUUACUUUAAAAAAUGUAAAAAUGACGAAUGGAAUUGUGCGAAAUUGAUCAAAAAGUGCGAUUGGGCUGCAACUUUAGAAAUUGUCUGUAGCUCAACUGAGUUUUUGAAAAAUUUUGGGCCGAAAAAUACCUUUUCGUAUGUACAGAUUCGAAAUCGUACCCAAACCUGAGAAAGCUCACCUUGUGACCAGAUCUCAAAUUUUUUCCCUACGAGGGGCUACCAAUAAUCAACUCCUCCAAACCCAUCAGUUUGAUACAAGUAACAGCAGAGAUAUGGGAGAUACAGCAUUGUAUUCUAUGUUCAAUCCUGAACCAAAAUUGCAAUUUUCCGAGAGUCAGUACCACUGUUUAGAAGCUCAGAUUUUCAAAAAUUGGUGUGAAAUAAGCGUUGUGAAUGCUCAAAGAAUUCAUUGCUCGCUCCACCGACCAACUUCCAAAAGUACCAUUCAUUCUAACACACUUGAAACACGGGCAUAUCGCAUAAGCAUAGCAAAACUUGGCAUUUUGGUUCAGAAUUAAACUAGGGACACGAUGCUGCAUCGCCUACCUCUCUCUCGUUACCCGUUUCCAUUUUUCAUUAAUUGAAUUUACAAUAAAAUUUUGAAAUUUCUUAAUGCAUCCAAUUUAUAAAAUUACCUACUCCCAAAUUUUUACUUUGCCUAUUAACGAUUGAAUUGGAAAUUUCAUACACACAGACUUGAAAAGUAUAGGAACGAGAAGGUACAUAGGUAAUCGAUGAUUUAGGUUCACGUUCACUCCACUUCAGUGGUACGAAAAAGUUUUGAGGUCUUGUAAAACAAAAAGGGGGAGAAAUGUUCACGAUACGUUUAAAACUCGUAUUAACUUUCUAUUCGACAUUUUUACAUUUUUUUAGUAAAUUUCAAUUCACCUCAUAUACGUAUAUUGGCAAAUAAUUGAAUGGUGAGAGGUCAGAAGGGGUAGGUCCAACCCCCUUGGGACUGGAAAAUUGAUCAAUGGGUCAUCUGAUGAGAAAUUAGAUGUAGAGCCGCAUUCGUCCUAACCAUUUUUGAGCUGGACUCAAUACUUUUCGAUAGGUAUAUUGGUCAAAAACCGAUUGGGGUGGCUAAGAUCCACAAAGGGAGAGAAGUGGUCACAAUACGCUAAAAAACUCGUAUCAACAUUCCAUUCGACAAUUUUACAUUUUUUAGUGCAUUUCAAUUCAUCUCACGUGCGUACCUAUAUAGGCAAAUAACUGAUAAGUGAAGGGGGAGGAGGAGGGCGGGAUGACAUUGUGCUCCGCUCUGUACCUCAGAAAAACAAAGAAAACAACCCCCCGUUCCAUUUUGGAACGAUUGAAGGUAUUACAAUCAAUAUUAACCAUCAACAUUAUGGCGACCGAUUUUGGGGGGCUAAGAUCCACAAUUUAGGGGAAAGCUCACCCGUAACCGCAAGGGCGACUUUCCAAUAAAAAUUCAUUAAAAUACGAGAAAUUCACACUUUCGGAUGAAAUUUUGUAUACUAACUAAUGAAGGCAUGAAGAAAUCAUAUCUGGCGAGUUUUGGUUUUUCCAGGCUCCAGUUGGGGUUGCAGGAGCACCCCCACCCCCAAUUUUGAAGUUGGGGUAAAAUGUCGAUAUUGGUGUCGUUUCCGUAUGAAACGACCACGCCGAUGACGAAUAUGAAGUCAGAUUUGAGAAUGCACCUCUUAGUACCCGAAAUGAGUGGAUAUAAUACUUGCGAAAAUGUAAUCGAAUGGGGGGGGGGGAGGGGGUCGGCGAUUUUCUUGUAAUUUUUCCUGAUAAUCAAUUGUUUUUUCAAAAGGCAAAAUGUUCAAAAUUUCUGAAAAAAGAAACGUAAAAAUGUCAAUUAAUUGACUGUUGAAUAAUGAAAAAUGACAGAAAUGUGAUUAUUUCGGAGAAAAUUUUGAAGUUACAGGAUGAGAGUCAGUCAAUAUUUCAUUUUUUACAUUUUUAAAAAUCAUCCUAAUAUUGAAUUGAAAUCUACACAAUUUGACCUACGUAUGUAAAAAUAAUUGAUUUAUUCAAAAAAAAAAUUCGCCAAACGAUUAUUUUUCAGGCCGAUUAAUAAUCGCCCAUCACUAAUACAGAUUUAAACUUAGUCAUUGUGGUGUCCGUUUUAAGUAUACGUAGUCAUUGUGGUGCCCGGUUUUGGUCUUGAGGUGCCCAAAUCGGGCACCACAAGGUCUUUCUGUAUAAAACGAUGUAGAAUCUCAUGAAAUGCACUCUAAGGUGAAAAAAAAAAUUUUGAGGCAGGCACCGUAAGUACCAAGUUUAUAUAACGGGCACCACUAUGACUAAAAAUACCAAAAAAACUAAACUGCUCCAAAACACCUUUAUCAUACAUAUAUAUGUGAUCCUCUAUGUACGCGGGCACCACAAUUACCAUAAAAGACCCGGGCACCACAAGGUACUAGGUACGUGUAUAUAUACAGGCUUACUACGGCUUAUACAGGCCCGUUUCUGGAAACGACACCGACGGUCCGAGGCCCGACGCGACGUUCCGAGACCCGAUCCCGGGUCUCGGAACGUUUCUCCAUGUUUUUCACAAUUUUCAUCAUGUACACCUUAAGGCAUGCUAUUUGCCAAAUUUUUGUUUGGGACUCGGAUCGUACGUUGAGUGCCACCACUUAUACAGAUUUGGUUCGCACUGUCUCUCUGUAGAGGGUGCCACCUUGCUUGUAUAUAACGAUACGAGACCCACUAGAUGGUACCAACGUUACGAGACCCAAUGCAUCGGCAACAUCGCAUGCACACAGCCCAACUGUGUCUGGAGUGGAGUUGAUGGGAGUUGGUGUUUUAACUAUUCACUAUAAGGUGUAGUCUAUGUCUCAUAUUAAUUUUAUGAAAUGACAGCGGAUCAAAUUUGUAUUAUUUUUAACCUGUUUUGUUUCUUGAGAUACUUAAUUUUUCCAAUUUCCAUUGUACUUUCUGCGUUUUUUUUUUUGAGUUGAAAUUUAAAAAAAUGUCGUACAUGAAUUGAUUACACAUCAGGAAUGAUUUAAACAAAUUGGGGGUUUUGUAAUGAAAACUAGUCCCUCUGUGAGCAUGAAGAAGGUUUAAGGCUUCAGAGCAGCAAUUUGAUUUUUUUCAGAUGAAAGACGGUUGUUAUGAGCUGAAAACCUGGAAACCAUGUAUCGAAAGUAUUCACGAGAGAAAAAUGUUGAGGUAAAAUAAAAUGAAAAUAUGAUUUAUCAUGCAAUUCUAAAAUACACAGUGAGGGUGUCGUUUCUCCCUCACCUUACGUAAUUCUCGACCUGAUUAAGGGGCUAAUCCACAUUUGAGGAUUUCCUGACGAUUACCUCGUGUGUUUUUGACCAACAUUCUUCACUUUCGAUAUCAUUAAGAAUAAUACUCGUAUGAUGAAAAAACCACUGGAGGGACUGCCUGGAAAUUGACUCAAAUGUGAUUUAGCCCCUUUAAUUAGGUCAAGAAUAAGCCACCCUAACAAACAAAAAAUUCUAAAGCCAUAAAAACCAACUUUUCGCAUCAUCUUUCAAGAAUGAUAGAUCAUUUUCCUGUUCUUUUCUGUGUCAAAAAUCAGUGAGUGAAGAAAUAAACUUCUCACAUUGAAAAUUAAUGUUGUUUUACUUUCGAAAAAUUAUCAAUUUUCGAUGGCUUUUGCCCUUGCUUCACUUAGGCAUAAGAAUAAGCCACAGCUCAAUUUUUAGAAAUUCAAAUUAUUUUUCUCGAUUUCUGGAGAAAUUUUAAAAUUUCGGAGAAAUCGAAAAUAACGCUGGAGACUACAGGAUGGCGAGAGAUGUUAAAAUUGAGUUUGGAGGAAUUGAUAUUACCUAGUUUCGGAACUGAUUUUCGUAAUUUAUGCUGAAGAAGUAGGAAUUUGAAAAGAAAAACAUAAAACACCGAAGAUGGUCAAUUUUGAAUUUUUUCAGCAAAAAUGUAGAAGUCGGUUUGGACAACUGAAGUUUUGGUUACUGAGGGGAGGAGGUUAAGACGACUUUUCUUAAAAUCUUGGUCCCAAAGUGAGGAUUUGUUGAAAUUUUUUGGUAUACCUAGCUGGAACAGUUGGAUUGAGGUCUACAUUUUAGCAUGUUCGAUUUUCUCUCACAUUCAAAUUUUCUAACUGACUAAAACUGAAUUUCGUCACCGUAAUAAGUACGUAAAAUAGCUAACAUACUUAAUUAAUUUUCACAGCUUGUCUGAUUGUUUGCACUUUUAGAAUACUUACUAAAAAUUCUAAAUUUUUGAGACGAAACUAAAAAUCUCCCCUUGGCUCGGAUUUUUACAGGGUACUUUUGGGAUAAUACAUACUAAGAAAGUAUUUGAGAGCUAAAAAAAUUUCGCUCAUCUUUCUUCUCUCACCCUCAUGCAGAAAAAUUUUAUUUUCAACAUAAAACUUUCUAUUUAUCAGCACGUUGGCCAAAAGAUUUGAAUUUCCUAUGGUGUGUGGACUGAGGGCCAAUCCAUGAAAUUUUUUUCAAUUUUUUUUCGCACUGUAUUUCAGCAAAAAAAAAAGAAAACUUUUACGCUGUUAUUAGUCCGAACUUUAAGAGUGUACAUAGGCUAGCUUUUUCCUCUAAAAUGUCGAACUAACAAGGGAACCUCCCACAUGAUAAUCAUCGGUUGGAACAAAAUUUGAACUGGUGGAAAGAGGACCUUAAAAAACCAUCAUCCCCAAUUUUCAGCUGCUCAAGUUGAUUUUUCGAUUUUUGGGGAGCAUUUGACGUUUUGUGUACACAGGUAAAGCUAAGUAUAUCUAUUCAACAAAGAAAAUCUGAAAAACUUACAAAUAUCCAUCUCUCUAGCGUAUCAAUUUCCACUGUUUAAAUUCUUGCCAAAGGCAGUCUUCUAGAUCACCUGUCAAAAUUUCAAGUGCUAAAGUGUCUUUUUUGAAUUUUAAUGAAUUUUUAAAAAAUUAAAUGUACGCCAAAAAUGCAAGUAAAAAUCAAAAUUUUACCAAAUUGUCCUAGAAAGCUGAAAUUUGGAAUAUGCACUAUUUUCGACCUGCCAAAUCGAUUGGAAACUGUUUCAAACUGUUUUGAGUGGUUCUGGAGCCUCCAGUAGUUUUUUGAGACUUGAAAUUCCCAAAAAAUUUCAUCAAAUGGAGACAAACUAAUCUUAAUGCGCUACGAAGUUGACUGCCAGCGGAUUUCAAGUCGUUUUGGAGCCUCCAGCGAAUUUUUGAAACUUGAAAUUUCGACAAAAUUUCAUCAAAUGGAGAUGAUAAGCCGAAAUUUAUUCCGCGCUCCCAUUUUAACACCCUCUGAGAUGACUACAGUUGGGUUCAAGUCAUUUUGGACCCUACAGCGGUCUUUUGAAAACUAUUGAAAUCUCCAGCGGAUUUUUGGAAUUUGAAAUUUUCACAGCAUGUUAUCAUAUGGAGUUGGAAAGCCAAAAUUUAUUUUGCAAACUAAUUUAAAUACUAUAAAAAGUCGACUGCAGGUGGUUUCAAGUGAUUUUGAAGCUUCCAGCUCUUUUUAGAAAUUUCAAUAUUUCAAAAAAUGCCAUAAAACCUGUUCAAAUAAUCUUAAAUACGCGUGCUCAAAAUUGGUGCUGGUUAAUGACCUUCACGAGCGAUAAAGUAUUAACCAGUUAUUGUCUUAAAGUCGGCGUAUUUUUUUUGUGCAUCGAUUUCAUACUAAUCACGCUUCCACCUCCGUUUGCGGUUCACACCUUACUUUUGACAUUAUUUCGAAGUAGAUUGCAGGCAGUUUCAAUCCAUUUUGAAGCUUCCUGUGCCUUUUUGAUAACUUCAGUUUUAAAAAAAAAUUUUUUAAUGCCACAAAAUCUGUCCAAAUUAAUUUUUGUACGUAGGUACUGUGCAAAGUGAAUUUGAUGAAAUUAUCUGGAAAAUGCAUGUUUCAAAAACCCACUGAAGGUUCCAGUAAUUUUCAAAAAGUCGCUGGAGGCUCCAAAACGACUUGAAAUCUACCUGCAAAUAAUUGACUUCAUAGGGUAUUAAAAUUAGUUUGCUGAGUAAAUUUCGGUUUUCCAUCUCCAUUUUGAUGGAGUUAUGUCGAAAUUUCAAGUUUCAAAAAUCUGCUGGAAACUCCAGUAGUUUUUAAAAAAUCGCUGGAGGCUCCAAUGACUUGAACCCAUCAGAUGUCGUCUUCAGAGGGUGUUAAAAUUGGAGCGCAGAGUAAAUUUCGGCUUUCCAUCUCCAUUUUAUGAAACUUUGUCGAAAUUUCAAGUUUCAAAAGGUAGCUGGAGGCUCCAAAACGACUUGAAAUCUACCUACAAUCGACUUCAUAAUGUAUUGAAAUUAGUUUGCAGACUGAAUUUCGGCUUUCCAUUUCCAUUUGAUGAAAUUUUGUCGAAAUUUCAAAUUUCUAAAAGUCGCUGGAGGCUCCAAAACGACUUGGAAUCUACCUGCAAUCGACUUCAUAGCGUAUUGAAGGUAGUUUGCAGAGUAAAUUUCGGCGUUCUAUCGCCAUUUGAUAAAAUUUUGUGGAAUGAAAAGUUUGGUCCCUUAACAAGGGAGAGGUACUUAUACUAACUAGCACAAAAAUUUUCGAACCAGACACAGGAAAUUCAAUACAGGACCACAAAACAUAUCAUCAGUCAAAAUUUCUUUUGUUUUUAUGAAUUUUUAAAAGUUCAAUGUGAGCCAAAAAACGCAAACAAGUCUACAUUUUAACAAAUUUGCCUAAAAAAUUGAAAUUUAAUAUUAAGUAUGUAGGACGCUAUUUUCGACUUCCCGAACUGAUUUGUAAUGGUUUCGAAUCAUUCUGGAGCCUCCUCCGGAUUUUCUGAUUCUCCAGUUAUCAAAAAGACGCGGUCUGGUAAACAAAGUGUAAAUAAAAUUCAGUGACUAUUAUUUGUGACCUUCUUGAUCAAUUUAGGCACACGUAAGUCUUGCUUUUUUACUCAAAAAGUUGCGAUAUAGUCCCACUUUUUUGAGAACAAGUGCUAAAAAUCUUCAUUUUUUGCUAAAUUGUUGAUUUUUUAUUUCUAAGAAGCAGAAAGUCUCGACUUCUGUCAAAAUUUCCAAAGGUCUCGUUUCUUUCCAAAAAUGUAUAAAAAAUGUUUUUUACUGAAAUUUCCAAAAAAUCUUCAUUUUUUUCCAAAAAUUGUCAAAGAUUCGUUUUUUGCCAAACAUUUUCGAAAAAUUCCCUCUUUUGCAGAUAAUUUGUAAAAUUCUCGCCUUCUUUGGGCUUCUUGCCAAGAAUUAUCUUAAGAUUCACUCCCCCCCCCCCCCCCCCAAAGACGCGAAAUGGUCUCGCAUUCGGACAAAAAAUACCAAAAAAUUCUACUGAUAUGUAUCAUGUCUGACAUUUUAAAAAAUGUGGAACUAUACGUGCAUGACCUGACUUUUGAAAACAUUCUGGCUUUUUGACUUUUAGUUAUACCUUGGUACGUAUGUCAGACUGUACAAAUUUUCAAAGAAAUCAGUAAUUUCCGAAGUUUCUAAUCAAGAACUGUGACAUUUUGAGGCAAAAUUCAAAAAAAAAAUGAGAAUAAACAUGAGCAAAAAAGAAAUGUAUCUCGGAUUCAAAACUGCCCUUGGAGAGAGAGACUCAUUUUUGUUGGUUCUCCAAUCCCCUCGAUUUUAAUAUGUUUGCAUUCAUUUUCUACUCAACAGAAAAGAACUUAAUUACCUGCUUUAAAUAACCCCAAAAGUAGUUGUAUCUCCAUACACCAGAGACAUUUCAAAUUUUUCAGGCGACGUGAUGAUAAAACAACUUUUUUUUAUGCAAAUAAGAAAAAUUUUUAAAAUCCGAGCCAAGGACCGUCCGGAAUUUUCACGAGUUUGUAAAAGCACGUGAUGAUGUAAGUAAAAUAACGCGGCAACGUUGCAGGGACUCGGACAGUCGGCAUGAUAUCCUCAAGGGCCUCGUAGCGUCGGUAGUGUAUACUAGGUCUCGAAACGUAGGUAAAAAAUAAGAUAUACAUCAUUAAAAAAAAAAUUAAUUUUCCUUUCCCCUCAAUAGCCACCAACAUAACCCCCUACUAAUACAUCACAAAUCAGCUUACAAUUUAUUUCUAUAUAUAUUUCUAAACCCGGGCCUCGGGUCGUCAGUGACAUAUACCGGGCCUCGCAACGCUAGUAGGUUCCAUAUAAUUAUAUUUAUAUAAAGACGUGACUUACCCUAAAUUAUUUUCCAUUUAGGUAAAAAAGAAAUGAUUGCUUGCUUUUAACUUGAUAAUUUACUCACAACGAAUUGUUUUAAAGCUUAACGCGUUACAGUACGACGACAAACUGUACGUUCAAUAAUACAUACAUAUGUAGGAUCAAGAGCUUGAACAAGAUCCAAAAAAUUUUACAAUGAGUAGCUCAUUUAUUUAUAGAAUCUGGGCUACCUACAUAUUGUAUUUUUAAAUUUUUUUUCAUUGUCGUUUGGUUUCAAAAUAUUAAGCGCCUACGUUCUUCUCAUGGUUUGAGUGAGGUGAGUUUAUGAUAAAGCAUCACUCCAAAGUUAUUACAAAAUAUUUAUUGGGUUAUUCCAUGUCAACUCAACAAAAAAAAUGCGAUUUUGAAAGUUCAUGUCUUUCGAUUUCGCCCAAUUUUUUUUUACCAUACUUACCCAUCCAAUAAAUAAGAAACCCGCAAUCAGUUUGGUCCUAGUACCCUCAGAGGGAGGGUGGGGAGGCUUCCAUUAUUUUCACAUUGUCUCAAGGUACUCAAUUUCAGCAGCGCAUUCCUCCAAAGCUAUGAUACUUCUAUAAAAACUGAUUUCACAGUUCGAAAGGGCAUUGCAUUUUGAACUUUUUAAGCAUUUUGACAUUUUCAAAAUUUGAAAAUUGAACUUUCAAAUUGAAAGUUCAAAUUUCAAAAUAGCGCUGUAAGUGGGAGCUACCAUUUAAAAUUACGAAAAAAUUUCCAUGGAUGUACCUUUUGAUGCUUUUUUGAAAUAUUCAAGUUUUGAGAUGGGAUCUCUCAAUGGAGAGGGAGCAACCCCACCCCCAAUUUGGGCGAAACUUUCAAAAAAAAAUCUGGGGCAUGUGAUAUAUCGAAUUGUAUGUUUUUGGUGACGCUGAACACGAAUAUGACGUCAGAUUUUUGAUUGGACCCCAUCCACAGCCCCCAACAAAUUUUUUGGACUUUUACCCAUUUGAGGUAGUUUUGGGAGCCAUGGAUGAGGUCAAUCUUAAAAACCAAGGCUAUAUUCGUGUUCGGCGAUAUCGAAAACAUACUACCUAUUUCAUGUGUUACACGAAUGAAACCAUUUUUUUUUGUUAGGUUACCCUCUUUGGGGAGGUUCCGAGGGCCGUGUAUGGGCCCAAUCAAAAAUCUGACGUCAUAUUCGUGUUCAGCGUCACCAAAAACAUACAAUUCGAUAAAUCACAUGCCCCAGAUUUUUUUUUAAAAGUUUUGCCCAAAAUUGGAAGUGGAUGCGCUCCCUUUUCAUCAAGAGAUCUCCUCUCGAAACUUGAAUAUUUCGAAAAAGCAUAAAAAGGUACAUACAUACUAUAUGGAAAUUUUUUCGUAAUUUUAAAUGGUAGCUCCCACUUACAGUGCCAUUUUGAAAUUGAAAGUUCAACUUUCAACUUUUGAAAAUUUCAAAAUGCCUAAAAGGUUCAAAAUUCAAUGACCUUUCGAACUGUGAAAUCAGUUUUGAUAAAAGUAUCAUAGCUUUGCAGGAAUGCGCUGCUGAAGUUGAGUACCUCAAGACAACGUAAAAAUAAUGGAAGCCUCCACCCGCCCCCUGAGGUGGCUGGGACCAAACUAAUUGCGGGUUUCUUACUUACAUGGGUGGGUAGAUAUUCUAAAAUAAAUUGAGCGAAAUCGAAGGACAUGACUCAAAAACGUUGGUCGAGUUGAGGGGUAAUGACCUUGUUAGCAGUAUUUACUGGGAAAAAUUAAUUUUUUACAAUGAUCAAGAACAUUUGCAGCACCUACAAAAUUGGUGUCAUUCCCAGAAUAAGCAUUGCAUUCGGAAGCCUGUAUAGAAAAAAAGGCUACAUAAAUUGUAUUACCUAUUUAUGUAAGUAGGUAUUUAAUAGCUUAAUUAUUAAAAUGAUGAUUUGCACAUUUCACCAGAAAUGCACUAGAAAAAUCUACACCUAGGUAUGGUGGUAAAAGUGCGCAAUCAGGUGGCAUUUCAGCCAUAAUUUGACAUAUGUACCUGACCUACAUGUUCCCUAGUAGGUACAAAUAACACAUUGCUGAAAAAUUUAAUUCAUCAAUUUGGAAUUUACACCAGUUGCGUUAAAUUUGUAAUUAAAACUGAUCGUUUAUGAAGUAAAAUUCUGAUCAUAAAAAAUGAGCACAGUUAAAAAUAUUAUAAUAAAAUAAAUAACAAACAACAACAAUAACAACGACAAAAAAACGAAUAAAUAAAAUUUGACUUGGUGGGUAAGUAGGUAGGUACUUCUGGAAAAUGAAGCAGGACUUGAGCACAAAAUUCUUGCGGAGAAUCACAGUAAGCUGAGUGUACAAAAGAUACUGACUUUUUGUCCAUCUCCCUUGGUUGUACAUAUAUGUAUCAAAAUUUUACCCCAAACCAAGAUGGAGAUGCCGCCAGUUCAAAAAAAUCGCAUCAUUCAUAAUUGCAAACAUUUUGGGGUACAAACGUGCUUAUACCUAUCCAAAGGCCAAGUUAGGAGCUGGUAUAUGACAAUUUAUAUUUUUUUACAGAUCUAUUCUUCUUAAAUAGCAUACAUAAUCAUCUAUUGUAAAUAAUUUUCAGGGGGGGGGGGGGUAUUGUAGUAGGUAUAUGUUAACAUUGUGUAAAUACUGUGAAUACAUUGUAAUGUAACAUACCUACUUAUCAUUUAUGUGUUCAAUUUCAAUAAAUCAUCAUCUUAUGGAA